rnacentral:rRNA from 1 species
ACUAGUCGAGUGACACUGCGCCGAAAAUGUACCGGGGCUAAACAUAUUACCGAAGCUGUGGAUUGUCCUUUGGACAAUGGUAGGAGAGCGUUCUAAGGGCGUCGAAGCAUGAUCGCAAGGACAUGUGGAGCGCUUAGAAGUGAGAAUGCCGGUGUGAGUAGCGAAAGACGGGUGAGAAUCCCGUCCACCGAUUGACUAAGGUUUCCAGAGGAAGGCUCGUCCGCUCUGG